GGUAAUUUUUCUUUAAAAAGACCAACUCUGUUCUCUUGAAUAUUUGGGGUUGUCCGUUUUGAUUCCUAUUAUUCUUUCCAUGCGGGAUAGUUGUCUCAUUAUAUUGGAGUUGAUACACAUGCUAAUUGCUACUGCUAAGUCCUUACAUUCGACCCUCUUUCGUUUUACGUGUUUGGGUAUUUAUUUGUUUAUAUUUCGUCGUUUGUGUGUCAACUGUCAGUCUGUGAUGUUCUAGUUCGCCUGGUGUUUUUU
rnacentral:lncRNA from 1 species